GACGAACGCUGGCGGCGUGCUUAACACAUGCAAGUCGAACGGAAAGGCCCUGCUUUUGUUGGUUUCUCGUUUGGCGAACGGGUGAGUAACACGUGUGUAACCUGCCCUUGUCUUUGUGAUAACUUCAGGGAACUCGGGCUAAUACCGGUUAUGAUCUCCUGCUGCAUGUUGGUGGUUGGUAAAUUUCGGCUUUUGGGGCUGGACUCGCUGCUUAUCAGCUUCUUUGUGUGGUAGUUGCUUACCAAGGCUUUGACGGGUAGCCUGCAUGAGAGGGUGACCGGCCACAUUGGGACUGAGAUACGGACCAGAAUGCUACGGGAGGCAGCAGGCGGGAAUAUUGCAGAAUGGGGGGAAGCCAGAUGCAGAGACGCUGCGUGCGGGAUGAUGGGCUUUGGGUUGUAAACCGAUUUGGAAUGUGACGAAGCGUGAGUGACGGUAAUGGGUAAAGAAGCACCGGCUAACUACGUG
rnacentral:rRNA from 1 species